rnacentral:lncRNA from 1 species
GUGAGGUGCCAGGUCCACCCCCAACCUUCACCAUUCGCUUUUCCUGGAAAAGCGUGGGGGACCCCAACACGACCGGGGAUGAGCCCAGCUUCCGAAGUUUCACUGCCAGCCUGCUCGGCGCUACAACGGGCUCCAGACCCCGAAAUGACAGCACGUCCCGACGGAAGGACCCUCCGAGGAGCAGCCGGCCCGGCUCCCGGCCGCCCGAAAUCGGAGCCCAGCGCCGGGAGCGCGCAGGCAGCCCCGCAGCGGGGCCGAGGCGGCUGCGUGCAGUCGCGGCGCUGCCAUCGGGAGCUCGGAUGGACGAGCGGCGGGUCGGGGCGCGCCUUGCCGGAGCGCUGAUUUUAGGACCGUCCAACAAAAAGCAUCGCUGCCCGCAGAGCACAAAUUCCCCGUCCCGCAGCUCCACCUCUCCCCGGCGGUCCGUUUCCCAAAAAUAACCCGGGCAACGACAGCCGCCUCACGCCGCUCUCCCCAACGUGCGCGCCGCGUCCCCCCGCCAGCACGAGCCGCGACCCCCGGGCUCCCGUGGGGCUCUUACGGGGUUCCGGAAGGGGUCGGCGGGGCCGCGGUUCUCCCCUCGCCCGGCCCCACCGGCAGCCCCCGGCGCACCCCGCUCCGUACCUCGGCAGUGCCGGCCCGGCGGGCGCCGGCGGCCCCACAUCGGCGCCGCUCCUCGGCCCGGGCCCCGCGGAGCUGCCCGCGGCUCUGCGCGGAGCGGGGGCGGGACCGGCCCCAGCCCCAGCUCCAACCCCGGCCCCAGCCCAGCAGCCCCCGCCCGCCCGCCGCGCCCCGCGGUCCCGCUGCGGAGAGGUGCGGGAAGCGGGCGGCGCCCGUCGCACGAAGCAGAUCCCGCAAAUAACCCGGGAGUGCGGGGGCAGGGGGAGCGCCGGAGCCAUUUUGCAGACCUGGGGCUGGAAGCGGCCGGAGCGGCGGGAGGAGGGAGCGGAAGGAGAGCGCGGUGUGUCGACAGCGAGCUCUGCUCGGAGCCCCGGCUGUCCCGGCGCUGCCUCCCCCCGCUCCGUCCCGCGGCCCGGCCCCGCACGCAGGCAGCGGGUGUCCCAGCGGAGCUCCGUGCUCGGCUCGGCAUCUGAAUUGACUCCAUGUAACCACAGCCUUUCCUGGGUUAGGAAGUUUUGCUGCCCAUGGCAUGAAGGGGGAUGGCGUGGUGCACACAGACACCACAUCACAGUGCUGCUCUGGAGCAGGGUGUGCAUCCCUGGCAUGGCAUGGAUGACAGAGCUCAAACCCAGUGCAGCCCUUAGGUUCCCCCACUCGCGGGGUCUGAGAGGCUGA